rnacentral:rRNA from 1 species
UACGGGGGGGGGAAGCGUUGUUCGGAAUUACGGGGCGUAAAGGGCUCGUAGGCGGCCAACCAAGUCAGACGUGAAAUCCCUCAGCUUAACUGGGGAACUGCGUCUGAUACUGGAUGGCUUGGAUUCGGGAGAGGAAUGCGGAAUUCCAGGUGUAGCGGUGUAAUGCGUAGAUAUCUGGAGGAACACCGGUGGCGAAGGCGGCAUCCUGGACCAACACUGACACUGAGGAGCGAAAGCCAGGGGAGCAAACGGG